rnacentral:rRNA from 1 species
CCUACGGGAGGCAGCAGUGGGGAAUAUUGCACAAUGGGGGAAACCCUGAUGCAGCGACGCCGCGUGAGUGAAGAAGGAUUUCGGUAUGUAAAGCUCUAUCAGCAGGGAAGAAAAUGACGGUACCUGAUUAAGAAGCACCGUCUAACUACGUGCCAGCAGCCGCGGUAAUACGUAGGGGGCAAGCGUUAUCCGGAUUUACUGGGUGUAAAGGGGGCGUAGACGGUGAUGCAAGUCAGAAGUGAAAGCCCGGGGCUCAACUCCGGGACUGCUUCUGAAACUGUGUGACUGGAGUGUAGGAGAGGUAGGCGGAAUGCCUGGUGUAGCGGUGAAAUGCAUAGAGAUCAGGAGGAACACCAGUGGCGAAGGCGGCUUACUGAACUGUAACUGACGUUGAGGCUCGAAAGCGUGGGGAGCAAACAGGAUUAGAUACCCGGGUAGUC